AUUUUCUGUUUUUAUAUUCUGUAAUUCAAAAUAUGUAGGUAGGUAUAAUAUAAUAUUUUUAAUUUUCAUUUCAACAUUCAGCUUGUGAAAUAGAUUUUUCAAAAUAAUAUAGUGAAAUCAUUUAUUUGAUAACCUGGAUAUCCAGAUAGUGAAAUUCGUCCAGAUUAUGAAUUUUGACGAAAAAACAUUAUAUGAAUAUGCAUUUUAUAAAAUAAAUCUAUACCUAAUGUAAUGUGUAAUUAUUAUAAAAAAAAAAUUUUUUUUUUAUAUAUAGCAAUAAAUAAUUAUAUUAUGUCAUAGAAAACUAUACUUUUCUAUAUUGUUUUAUGAACAAAAAUAUAACAAUUAUAGUCAAAAAAUUAUAUUAUUUAACAUUUUAUUUUUCAUAAACCAUGCUUAUAUUGUUUUAUUAAUAAAAUAAUUAAUAGAUUGAUUAAUUUAUUAUUUGGUAUUUAAUUUAUUCAACUUAAAUAUUAUAAUUC